rnacentral:rRNA from 1 species
UGGCGGACGGGUGAGUAAUGUCUGGGAAACUGCCUGAUGGAGGGGGAUAACUACUGGAAACGGUAGCUAAUACCGCAUAACGUCGCAGACCAAAGAGGGGGACCUUCGGGCCUCUUGCCAUCGGAUAUGCCCAGAUGGGAUUAGCUAGUAGGUGGGGUAACGGCUCACCUAGGCGACGAUCCCUAGCUGGUCUGAGAGGAUGACCAGCCACACUGGAACUGAGACACGGUCCAG